rnacentral:rRNA from 1 species
UUAAUAGAGAGUUUGAUCCUGGCUCAGGACGAACGCUGGCGGCGUGCCUAACACAUGCAAGUCGAACGGGUUUGUGCGAAGCACA